CCUACGGGUGGCAGCAGUGGGGAAUAUUGGACAAUGGGCGAAAGCCUGAUCCAGCCAUGCCGCGUGUGUGAAGAAGGCCUUCGGGUUGUAAAGCACUUUCAGUGGGGAAGAAAGCCUUGGGGCUAAUACCCUCGAGGAAGGACAUCACCCACAGAAGAAGCACCGGCUAACUCCGUGCCAGCAGCCGCGGUAAUACGGAGGGUGCGAGCGUUAAUCGGAAUUACUGGGCGUAAAGCGCGCGUAGGCGGUCUGAUAAGCCGGUUGUGAAAGCCCCGGGCUCAACCUGGGAACGGCAUCCGGAACUGUCAGGCUAGAGUGCAGGAGAGGAAGGUAGAAGUCCCGGUGUAGCGGUGAAAUGCGUAGAGAUCGGGAGGAAUACCAGUGGCGAAGGCGGCCUUCUGGACUGACACUGACGCUGAGGUGCGAAAGCGUGGGUAGCAAACAGGAUUAGAUACCCCGGUAGUC
rnacentral:rRNA from 1 species